rnacentral:rRNA from 1 species
CUGGUUGAUCCUGCCAGACCCGACUGUUAUCGGAUUGGGACUAAGCCAUGCGAGUCAACUCCGCAAGGGGUGGCGCACGGCUCAGUAACACGUAGUCAACCUACCCUGGGGACGGGGAUAACCUCGGGAAACUGAGGCUAAACCCCGAUGGGCCAUGGCUCCUGGAAUGGGCUAUGGCUGAAAUCUACAUGGCCCCAGGAUGGGACUGCGGCCGAUCAGGUUGUUGGUGGGGUAAUGGCCCACCAAGCCUAUAACCGGUGCGGGCUCUGAGAGGAGGAGCCCGGAGAUAGGCACUGAGACAAGGGCCCAGGUCCUAUGGGGCGCAGCAGGCGCGAAACCUCCGCAAUGGGCGAAAGCCCGACGGGGUCAGUCCGAGUGGUUUCCGCUGAGGGAACCUUUUGCCAGCUGUAAACAGGCUGGCGAAUAAGGGGUGGGCAAGUUUGGUGUCAGCCGCCGCGGUAAUACCAGCACCCCGAGUGGUCGGGACGAUUAUUGGGCCUAAAGCAUCCGUAGCCGGCCCAGUAAGUCCUCCGUUAAAUCCAACGGCUCAACCGUUGGGCUGCGGGGGAUACUGCUGGGCUAGGGGACGGGAGAGGCGAGGGGUAUUCCCGGGGUAGGGGUAAAAUCCACUGAUCCCGGGAGGACCACCAGUGGCGAAGGCGCCUCGCUAGAACGUGCCCGACGGUGAGGGAUGAAAGCUGGGGGAGCGAACCGGAUUAGAUACCCGGGCAGUCCCAGCCGUAAACGAUGUAGGCUCGGUGUUGGGCUGCCUCAGUGGCAGCCCAGUGCCGCAGGGAAGCCGUUAAGCCUACCGCCUGGGGAGUACGGACGCAAGGCUGAAACUUAAAGGAAUUGGCGGGGGAGCACCAC